rnacentral:rRNA from 1 species
UCCGUAGGCGGGCUAAUAAGUCAGGGGUGAAAUCCCACAGCUUAACUGUGGAACUGCCUUUGAUACUGUUAGUCUUGAGUUAUAUGGAAGUAGAUAGAAUGUGCAGUGUAGCGGUGAAAUGCAUAGAUAUUACACAGAAUACCGAUUGCGAAGGCAGUCUACUACGUAUAUACUGACGCUAAUGGACGAAAGCGUGGGGAGCGAACAGGAUUAGAUACCCUGGUAGUC